GAUGAACGCUGGCGGCGUGCCUAAUACAUGCAAGUCGAGCGAACAGACGAGGAGCUUGCUCCUCUGACGUUAGCGGCGGACGGGUGAGUAACACGUGGAUAACCUACCUAUAAGACUGGGAUAACUUCGGGAAACCGGAGCUAAUACCGGAUAAUAUAUUGAACCGCAUGGUUCAAUAGUGAAAGACGGUUUUGCUGUCACUUAUAGAUGGAUCCGCGCCGCAUUAGCUAGUUGGUAAGGUAACGGCUUACCAAGGCGACGAUGCGUAGCCGACCUGAGAGGGUGAUCGGCCACACUGGAACUGAGACGCGGUCCAGACUCCUACGGGAGGCAGCAGUAGGGAAUCUUCCGCAAUGGGCGAAAGCCUGACGGAGCAACGCCGCGUGAGUGAUGAAGGUCUUCGGAUCGUAAAACUCUGUUAUUAGGGAAGAACAACUGUGUAAGUAACUAUGCACGUCUUGACGGUACCUAAUCAAAAAGCCACGGCUAACUACGUG
rnacentral:rRNA from 1 species